rnacentral:rRNA from 1 species
CAGUAGCCGCGGGAAUACGAGGGGUGCAAGCGUUACUCGGAAUUACUGGGCGUAAAGCGUGCGUAGGUGGUGGUUUAAGUCCGUUGUGAAAGCCCUGGGCUCAACCUGGGAAUUGCAGUGGAUACUGGGUCACUAGAGUGUGGUAGAGGAUAGUGGAAUUUCCGGUGUAGCAGUGAAAUGCGUAGAGAUCGGAAGGAACAUCUGUGGCGAAGGCGACUAUCUGGGCCAACACUGACACUGAGGCACGAAAGCGUGGGGAGCAAACAGGAUUAGAUACCCCCGUAGUCCCUGUAUCUUAUAC